UACGUAGGGGGCGAGCGUUGUUCGGAUUUACUGGGCGUAAAGGGCGCGUAGGCGGCAAUUCAAGUCAGCUGUGAAAUCUCUGGGCUUAACCCAGAACGGCCAGCUGAUACUGCUUUGCUAGAGUGCAGAAGGGGCAAUCGGAAUUCUUGGUGUAGCGGUGAAAUGCGUAGAUAUCAAGAGGAACACCUGAGGUGAAGACGGGUUGCUGGGCUGACACUGACGCUGAGGCGCGAAAGCCAGGGGAGCAAACGGG
rnacentral:rRNA from 1 species